AGAUGUUCAAAUAAGGAAAAAAAGUGAACAGAGUAUUACAUUUUAAAAUAAAAUAAAAAAUCUUGGAUGCCUGUGAAGAUCGCUUUAACGAUAAAGAUAAACAGGCAAAUAUUUGAGGUAAUUUUCUCUUUUAAGCAUAGUUUCAUUCUGAUGCGGUGGACCAAAAUGCAAUUACGAACUUUCGUGCAAGUCUGAAGCUACCAUAUAUUGUAGCUGCCAUUUUACACACACACACACAAAGACAGUUACUCUAAUACCAAUAUGAUAAUUACUUCAGUAAACCAAACCUCUGUGUUAUAAUAAAAUUUAUUGGGUAAAAUGACUAAUUAUUCUGUCUUCCUGUGUAAAAUUUGCUGUUCUUGUGGCAUAAUAAAGAAUCGCACAAUCUUUGCUGAGGUUAGAAGGAAAAACCUAAAUACUAAACGAGAGGUGACUUUUAUCCUCACAGGAAAGGUAUUAACAGCUUGCUCUUGUUUCAGAGACCAAACCACCAUGAUGGCCAGAGGUUGCAGCCACACUGGCCUGCAAUUUGCAUAGGAACAGAGUCAGAGGUGAUGUAUUCAAACUAGGCCCUUGUAAAUGGGUUGAAUUUGGAAGAAUAAACCCCACAAACGUGUGGUUUCUUUACCAAAUGAAAACUAGUAACACAUAACCCUGCUGGGAAGGGGGGAGGACAGAAACCAUCACAGACAUUCUAAUGGUGUCCAGUACAAAUACCAUUACAUACCACUAAAACCAUUACCGGCCCUUACUGGUAGUCAAUAGACAUGCCACUAAUACAAGGCAACAAAUUACCAGUACAGACCCACAAGGACCAUUACAGUUUCCAUUACAAAUUCUGUGAGGGUUUAUAUUGUUUGUUUGUUUGUUUUCAGCGGGGAAGUAAGGAACACACAGGCUCAGUUUAUUAAAAGUAGCAUUAUUUGAAAUAAGACAGAAAAAAAAACCUCUGAAACGUAUACUGAUGUGUUAUCUAUCACAUUACAGUCCAGACAAUAAACGACGUAUAAGUUUAAGUAUAUCUUAUAAACGAUGUGUAAAUAUAUCUUGUGAACAGUUAAGUUAGCAAUAGCAUGCCAACAGUCUCGAGACGAGGGGCCACGCGCAACAAAACAUCGUUUGUUUAGUAGGCUAAGCUAAGGCAAUGUUCAAACGUAGGUUUUCCUCUUAAAGCAACACAGCGACCAACUUUACAACGAAGAGCGGUAACCAAGUCCAGAGACGGCCUCGGACUUCCUCCUCAGACCUGAUGGGAUUCUCCAAACGGGACAAAAAGACUUGAGGGGGGGAAAUGAGCGAAGUGAGUCGGUUUAAUACGAACAAAAAGAACAAGUGAGGAGACGGGGAAGAGAAAAAAAAGAUAGAGAGCGAGAAGGAGAAGAAGGAAGCCAGACAUCUGCACAAAUUACCCACCCAGUGAAACGGGUUGCAGAGGAGCCUGGAGCCUAUCAAGGGCAACUCGGGGAACAAGGCGGGGAACACCCUGGACAGGAUGCCAACCCAUUGCAGGGCAAAAAAAUCACACAACUUGAAAAUGCCAGUCAGCCUUUGGACUGGGGGAGGAAACUGGAGUACCCAGAGGAAACUCCCAAAGCACGGGGAGAACAUGCAAACUCCGCACACAAAGGGCGGGGGCAGGAUUCGAAACCCCAACCCCCAAAGGUGCCAGGCAAACGUGCUAACCACUAAGCCACCAUGCCCCCGUUCCAAACAACAAAACAGUAUCAUUCUAAAUACUAUGCCAAAAAAAAUGCAUAAGGAGAUCACAAGUUUGAAUUCCAGCAAUACCACAGUUAUCCAACCCUAGGUUGGGAGACCAAGAGAGUGAAAUUGGCUGCACUUUUAGGGAGGAAGGGAUGGAAUUACUCAGUUCUCUGUCAAUCAGAGUGAAACCAUCCAAUAGUAGGGAUCUGUGAGCUCAUUUUAGUGCUUUACUCCAAGUGUGGCAAAUAUGCACAUAGCUUGGAGGAAGCAUGGGCUAGCCUUCAUCCUCCACACAUGGUAGCUGGUGUACAAUACAGGAGAACUGGCUAGAGUGUGGUAUAUUGGCAAAUUGGGAGAAAAUGGGGUCAAAUGAUGAGGGGGAAAAAUAGUGUGCCAUUAUAUGAAGUAAGAAGUGAUUUAUCCAUUAAUUCAUUCAUGUUGUGUCACCUUUAACCUGCUCAAGGUUGUAGUUGAUAUGGAGUUUCCCAGCAGCCUUGUUUUUACAAAAUGGCAGUCAUCUGAGUGACGAUUCUGUGCUACUUACAUAUGACCAGUUAAUGCUUGCACUGUAUCUAUUUCCUUUCAUAUGCCAAUGUUUGGUACCUUUGGUAUCCUGGCAAGCAGGUUAACCAAGUUCAGCACACUAACGGCAAAAUACGGGAGAGAUUUGUUUCCAUAAAAUGUACUGUGUAGUGUAAAAGAGCUGUAUGUUCAUCUUUCCUUUUUACCUCUGCUUUCAAUUAUUAUUUUCUUUCUCUUUACGUCAGUUUUACUCCUUAAGUGUGUGUGUUUGUGUGUGUCCUAAUCCGUUCUGAGUUUCUUAAAUGUCUCCUCCAUGUGCUAUUUCUGUCGCCAUUCGCCACUGCUGUGAUGGUAAUCGGAAGCCAAGCAAUGCUCUCCGAUUCCUGUGAGCAAGUUGUUCUCCCAUUCAAUAACAAAACACAUCCACCCAAACCAAACACAUGUGAGCAGAGAAUCUGUUCUUAAUUGCUUAUUAAAAAUCUCCGUUUUCUGGUUUCACACGAUUGCUUUAUUCUCGGUAGAAAGCAGUACCGUAAACGAUACUGAAGCGAUAGAAACUAAGGGCUCUGUGUAAAAUUCCAUCUACUGAAUACUAAUGAAGUAUGACCAAUCAGUCAUCACAAUUAAAGGACAGCUUUAGGUAGGCCUAUCCCAUGAUGCACUGCUUUGACUGGCUCUCAAUCUCAGCAGUUGUGUUCCAGCCCACGGUGUUGCCUGACAACUGCAGCCACCCACACUGCGCUGUCACUCAGAGACAGAAUGACUAAAAGGUGGCCAUUUUGAAUCUGUCCUAAACCUCAUUAUAAUACAUGUCCAUGCUAACUAAUAGACCAAAAAGACAAGUUGUUUAUCUUAAUGUCCAAUUCCCAUUCCUUAUGAUUAUGAGUGACUAGGAAAGUGUCAUUUGUCAUUGCAAGCACCGUAAAUAGCACUAACAGCUCAUUAGCUACUAAAGGAGUAUAAGAUCAAAAUAUUUAUUUUUAAUAUUUCACUUUUUUUUUUUUUAAUAGUUGGUAUCAACAGUACUAUUUUAAUAUAGCAGACUGUGAUAGGUAGUAGAAUGUUUCCCUCCUUUUCUGUGUUAAAUAGUUUGCAUAAACUUAACUGAAUUUAAAUAAUAUUCUGAUUGACAGCUCGGAUGGAGUAAAAACUGCAUUUAUUCACUGUACACUUUAGUAGGAGCAGGUGUACUCCUGCUUAUUCAUGCAAUUAUACAACCAGCCAAUCAUGUUGCAGCAAUUUAUAUAUAUAUAUAUAAUAUAUACUUUUUGUAAAUCAAACAUCAGAAUUUAGGGGAGAGUGUGAUCUUAGUGAUUUUGACCAUGGUUUUCAGUACUGGUUUGAGUAUUUCAUGAACGGAUGAUCUCCUGGGAAUUUCAUGCAAAAUAGUCUCUCGAGUUUGUACAGAAUGGUGUGAAAAACAAAACAAAAAACAUCCAGUGAGCAGUAGUUCUGUGGGCCGAGACACCUCAUUGGUGAGAGGGAUUAGAAGAGAAUGGCCAGACUGGUUUGAGCUGACAGGAAGGCUACGGAAAUAACCUCAAUAUUCACUCUUUACAACCGUGGUGAGCAGAAAAGCAUCUCAGGAGGCACAAUACACAGAACCUUCAGGCGGAUGAGCUACAGCAGCAUCAAGAUCCACUCAUAUCAGCCCAGAAUAGGAACCCGAGACUACAGUAGGCACAGACUCACCGAAACUGGUGUGCUGAAGACUGGAAGAAGAUCAGGCGAGUCAGCCACAUGAUUGGCUGAUUGGAUAACUGCAUGAAUGUGCAGUAAAGUGCAUAGUGAGUGUUUAUAAACAUGUCAAUCUGAAUCAAAUAAACAGACUAAUAAUCAAUUUACUAAUCUAAUAAAUGGACGUAUCAUCACCAAGUAAACUUGUACUUGUGUACGUUUACAGUCAGGAUUCUCGCAUAUGCAAAAUGAGCCUUUUUUCCUUUGAGAAAGUAGAGAUGUAUAUGCAUUUGAUGAAUGUUAAAGCACUGUAUAAUUAUUGCUACGUUGGAUGGGCAGUGUGAUAGGGAUCUAUAAUAUAUCAAAGCAGAAUGAUGCUGGAGUUCUAAGCACCUCUGGAGGUUAUUUACACCAAGACUGACAGGCAUAACAAAGGAAAACUCGGGUAGCAGGCACCAAUGUUAAGUAAUGGUUACACUCUGAUAGGACAUGAUUCUUGUUGUUAUGGUAACGUUGACGUUCCUCGCAUGCCUCUCCUCGCAUGCGAGGAAAAUUUGGUUUCCAUUACAUAUAAUGUGCAUGAACUUGAAGAUUUCCAGCACAUUGCUGAGUUUAGGAUGCACAGAAAGCAUUCAUUCAGACUCCGUAAUCAAAAUGAUUUCAUUCGUAUUGACAAAACGUGCGCGUGAACAUAGCCAGCGAGGAAACCCGCGAACUUCAACACAAGUGCAAUUCAUCAUCAUGUACUUGGAGAAUCAAUUAGCUAUCAUCAGUGUGUGUGAAAUGUCUACACUCCAUGGCUGUGAAUUUCAGAUCCUUGUUUUCAUCAACGUUUGUUUUUCACUGUCCAGAUG